ACAUGUACACAGACAGACGGAGAGACUAUAUGUUUCUUACAGACAGACAAACAAACCAACAAACAUGCAAACAGACUCUUUCUUUCUUUCUUUCUUUCUUCCUUUCUCUCGUUCUUUCUGUCCCACCUCUUCCUUCUUUUAA
rnacentral:ribozyme from 1 species